rnacentral:rRNA from 1 species
UGAGGGAAAGGUGAAAAGAACCCCGGGAGGGGAGUGAAAGAGAACCUGAAACCGUAUGUCUACAAGCAGUCGGAGCGAAAGCGACGGCGUGCCUAUUGAAGAAUGAACCAACGAGUUACGUGCACUAGCGAGGUUAAGUGGAAGACACGGAGCCGAAGCGAAAGCGAGUCUUAAGAGGGCGGAUAGUUAGUGUACGUAGACCCGAAACCGCAGUGAUCUACCCAUGUCCAGGUUGAAGCGCAGGUAAAAUUGCGUGGAGGACCGAACCUGUGAGCGUUGAAAAGCUUUAGGAUGAGAUGUGGGUAGAGGUGAAAUUCCAAUCGAACGCGGAGAUAGCUGGUUCUCCCCGAAAUAGCUUUAGGGCUAGCCUCAAGUAGUAAGUAUAGGCGGUAGAGCACUGAUCGGGCUAGGGGCCAUAAAGGUUACCGAACCCUGUCAAACUCCGAAUGGUUAUACUGUAGAGCUUGGGAGUCAGACUACGAGUGAUAAGAUCCGUGGUCAAAAGGGAAACAGCCCAGACCACCAGCUAAGGUCCCCAAUGUCGUACUAAGUGGAAAAGGAUGUGGGGUCUCUAAAACAACCAGGAUGUUGGCUUAGAAGCAGCCACCAUUUAAAGAGUGCGUAAUAGCUCACUGGUCGAGAGACCCUGCGCCGAAGAUUACCGGGGCUAAAGUACGAAACCGAAGCUGUGGCUACGACAUAUGUCGUGGGGUAGGGGAGCGUUCUGUGAGGGCUGAAGUCGUUCUGUAAGGAACGGUGGACUUCACAGAAGUGAGAAUGUUGGUAUGAGUAGCGAAAAGAAUGGUGAGAAUCCAUUCCACCGAAAGCAUAAGGAUUCCUGGGCAACGAUCGUCGUCCCAGGGUAAGUCGGGACCUAAUCCGAGGCAUGGAGCGUAGGAGAUGGACAACUGGCAGAUAUUCCAGUACCGGUAAUGAUUGUUUGAGCGAUGGAGUGACACAGGAGGGCAGGCAGGCAGGAGAUUGGUUGUUCCUGUACAAGCGUGUAGGAUGGGACGCAGGCAAAUCCGCGUCCUGUGAGUCUGAGGCGUGAUGUGGAGGUUCCGGAAACGGAACCGAAGCUGCUGACCCCACACUGUCGAGAAAAGCUUCUAGUUAGAGAAUUACCGCCCGUACCGUAAACCGACACAGGUAUGCGGGGAGAGAAUCCUAAGGUGCGCGGGAGAACCCUCGUUAAGGAACUCGGCAAAAUGUACCCGUAACUUCGGGAUAAGGGUAGCCGCUGUUGUGAAGUCUGAACAGACGGAGCAUGAGGCGGUCGCAGAGAAGAGGCCCAAGCGACUGUUUACCACAAACACAGGUGCCUGCUAAAGAGAAAUCUGACGUAUAGGUGCUGACACCUGCCCAGUGCCGGAAGGUUAAGGAAGGAUGUCCGGAGCAAUCCAAAGCAUUCGACCGAAGCCCCGGUGAACGGCGGCCGUAACUAUAACGGUCCUAAGGUAGCGAAAUUCCUUGUCGGGUAAG